rnacentral:rRNA from 1 species
AUGGAAGGGCCAUCGCUCAACGGAUAAAAGCUACCCCGGGGAUAACAGGCUUAUCUCCCCCAAGAGUUCACAUCGACGGGGAGGUUUGGCACCUCGAUGUCGGCUCAUCGCAUCCUGGGGCUGUAGUCGGUCCCAAGGGUUGGGCUGUUCGCCCAUUAAAGCGGUACGCGAGCUGGGUUCAGAACGUCGUGAGACAGUUCGGUCCCUAUCCGUCGUGGGCGUAGGAAAUUUGAGAGGAGCUGUCCUUAGUACGAGAGGACCGGGAUGGACAUACCUCUGGUGUACCAGUUGUCGUGCCAACGGCAUAGCUGGGUAGCUAUGUAUGGACGGGAUAAGUGCUGAAAGCAUCUAAGCAUGAAGCCCCCCUCUAGAUGAGAUUUCCCAACUUCGGUUAUAAGAUCCCUCAAAGAUGAUGAGGUGAAUAGGUUCGAGGUGGAAGCGUAGUGAUACGUGGAGCUGACGAAUACUAAUCGAUCGAAGACUUAAUCAACAU